GUUUGCUUCGCAACACAUUUACUAAAACUGGAGUGAUCCAGAGAAGACUAGGACGGCACCUGCGCAAGGAUGACGUGCAAAGUAAUGGAACAGCCCAUGUUUUA